UGGGGAAUAUUGGACAAUGGGGGAAACCCUGAUCCAGCGACGCCGCGUGAGUGAAGAAGUAUUUCGGUAUGUAAAGCUCUAUCAGCAGGGAAGAAAAUGACGGUACCUGACUAAGAAGCCCCGGCUAACUACGUGCCAACAGCCGCGGUAAUACGUAGGGGGCAAGCGUUAUCCGGAUUUACUGGGUGUAAAGGGAGCGCAGACGGCAAUGCAAGUCUGAAGUGAAAGGCGUGGGCUCAACCCAUGAACUGCUUUGGAAACUGUAUAGCUUGAGUGUCGGAGGGGUAAGCGGAAUUCCUAGUGUAGCGGUGAAAUGCGUAGAUAUUAGGAGGAACACCGGAGGCGAAGGCGGCUUACUGGACGACAACUGACGUUGAGGCUCGAAGGCGUGGGGAGCAAACAGGAUUAGAUACCCUGGUAGUCCACGCAGUAAACGAUGAAUACUUGGUGUCGGGGAGGUAAACUCUUCGGUGCCGCAAGCUAACGCAUUAAGUAUUCCACCUGGGGAGUACGUUCGCAAGAAUG
rnacentral:rRNA from 1 species